CCUAAUUCAAAGGUUAUAAAGAUAAAGAGGUAUUUUUGCGAAGGUGUCUCUCUCCGUUGCCCAGGCUUGACUGAUAUCAUUGUAAGAAGAAGAGAUUAGAACAC
rnacentral:lncRNA from 1 species